UACUUAUUGGAUGAUGACUGUCAGUUGUGUUGUGAUAGGAUAUCAACUCCAUGAAAAAUGAAAUGUAUCAUUAAUUUCAUUUCAUUAAUCAAUCAUAACAUGACAUGUGAUCAUCCAUUA
rfam:Glycine max cultivar Williams 82 chromosome 13, whole genome shotgun sequence.